UUUAAAAUCAGUUGACUUGCCUA
rnacentral:siRNA from 1 species